UACGGAGGGGGCUAGCGUUAUUCGGAAUUACUGGGCGUAAAGCGCGCGUAGGCGGUUCUUUAAGUUGAGGGUGAAAUCCCGGGGCCCAACCCCGGAACUGCCUUCAAAACUGAAGUGCUUGGAGUGCGGGAGAGGUGAGUGGAAUUUCUAGUGUAGAGGUGGAAUUCGUAGAUAUUAGAAGGAACACCGGUGGCGAAGGCGGCUCACUGGCCCGUAACUGACGCUGUGGCGCGACAGCGUGGGGAUCAAACAGG
rnacentral:misc_RNA from 1 species